CUCGAUAGCUUCGUCAUUGCUGGGCUUUCCAUCGCUUGAUCGCUUCUGCAGCUCUCUUGUUGUGUGAUUCGUUUGUAGUGUGAUGGAAGGUGAUUCAUUAGGUGCUCCAAUUAUUCUGACAAUAAGUGGUUCGUUCUGGAGGAGAAGGCGGGGUUGGAUUCCAACGUCGUGCAUGAGUCCUCGUGGAUUCUGGAUUCUGGCUGUGAGUUUGGAACGAGAUCGACUGUUUUCUCGUGGCGUUUGCAUCCCAUAGAGAAAAUGUAGCCGCUAAAAUUUGGACGUAUGCCGAAGAAUAUUGAUGAUACGAAGUGCUAUGAUGCAUUUUCGGGGUGUUCAAGGAUGCAUGACUGGACUAGCUCAAGAAAUGGCAUACAGGAAGACAGCAAUUAAGAUUACCUGGAUUCAAGUCGAGACCCUGCGAAGGUUCGUUGGUUAUUUUGAAGUAAUUCGUUUCUGUUUGCUGUCAAUUCAGUUCUCCUUUUCUGCUCAGUUGUUAAGAUGGUCCCAUUUCUCUUCUUUCAUCUGGAUAUUCAUAAUUGAUGAAAAGUUGUGUUUAUGUGCACAAUCGCGUUCUCAUCACGAUGUGAUUGAAGAAUUUUCCCUGCGUAAUGAAUAAUUUCGAUCGAAAGUAUAUAUGGAGAAAUCUUUGAUAGCUCAAUUGUCUUUUUGGAAGUUAAAGGAGCUUUCUCAAACAUUCGAAGUUUUGAGUGACCCUGAGGAGCCAUAGCCACAUGAUCAAUAUGGAGAAGAUGCUCAUGAGGAGAGGAUGAGUGGAGGAUAUGGUGGACACGAUCCAUGAGACAUCUUUGAAUUGUUCUUUGGUGAUGACGGUAGUUCGUUUGGAGGUGCUAGUGGCAGGAGUGGCAGGUGACAGCGGAGUGGAGAAGAUGUAGUUCACUCAUUGAAGGUUUCUUUAAAAGACCUUUACAAUAGUGAUCCAGAGAAGCUGUCCUUGUCAAGGAAUGUUAUUUGCUCCAAAUAUAUAUGGAAUGGUUCCAAAACUGGAGCAUCCAAUCGUUGUGCAGCUUGCCAGGAUUUAGGCACGAAGGUCUCGAUUCGACAGACUGGUCUCAACACGUUACAGCAGAUUCAAUAACUAUAUUUACAUUGCAUUGGAUCAGGUAAAUUUGACUCUUUGUUGCAAUUGAAACAGCGCUUGUGUUUGGUUCCGAUUGUGAAGUUCUUGAAAUCGAAUUCGUUGUUGUGCUUGUGUAAAUACCUGACAUUCAGGACAGUGGAUACACAUCAAACAAUCGAUGAAAAGGACAGUUGUGGGCAGUGUAAGGGUCGAGAGGUUGUGCAGGAUAAGAAACUAUUAUAAGUUCAUGUAGAGAAAGGAAUAGCGCAUCGGCGGAAAGUAUUCUUCCAAAGCGAGGCUGAUGAGGCUAUAUGGUUUAGCAAAUGUAUUGUAUGCACCUUGAUCUCAAACGAUACUAAUUGAUGGUUCUGCCAUAUUCUUUUCUUUUGCAUA